rnacentral:tRNA from 1 species
UCCAGGGUAUCCAAGUGUACAGGGCAUCUGCCCGGUAAGCGGAACAUUGUGGGUUCGAUUCCCAUCCCUGGAC